rnacentral:misc_RNA from 1 species
UUUCCGUAGGUGAACCUGCGGAAGGAUCAUUACAGUGUUCUCUGCCCUCACGGGUAGAAACGCCCACCCUUGUGUAUUAUAUCUUUGUUGCUUUGGCAGGCCGCCCUCGGGCACCGGCUCCGGCUGGAUCGCGCCUGCCAGAGGAAACCCAAACUCUGAAUGUUAGUGUCGUCUGAGUACUAUCUAAUAGUUAAAACUUUCAACAACGGAUCUCUUGGUUCUGACAUCGAUGAAGAACGCAGC